UGCGGAAGUUGUUUUCGCCAGAGCCCUGGUAUAUGCAAGACUUUAAUGAUUUUGGGACUGAUCUAGCGAUUUACAACCUAUUCUUAUUCACAGGCUCGCUUAUUCAAUAGUAACGGUCCCUUUCAGUGUCUUUUGCAGGUAAAAAGGUUCGUACUUAAUCUAUCUAAAUGUGAGAGUGUCAACGCCUGAAUAAAAUGUAAUUUUCUUUGUAAUCGCAGACCCGCAAUCAACACAGCCAUUUCCUUAUAUUUCUAAUUUCUUUGCAUACACAGCGCGACAAAUAAGUUUCGAGACUCGGACCAUACCUCGGUAGUAUCAAUUUUGGAGUUCAAUCGGUUGAUGAAUAAUAAAGUCAUAAAAGGAUUAACGAUAACUGCGGAAGUUGUUUUCGCCAGAGCCCUGGUAUAUGCAAGACUUUAAUGAUUUUGGGACUGACCUAGCGAUUUACAACCUAUUCUUAUUCACAGGCUCGCCUAUUCAAUAGUAACGGUCCCUUUCAGUGUCUUUUGCAGGUAAAAAGACCCGCAAUCAACACCGCCAUUUCCUUAUAUUUCUAAUUUCUUUGCAUACACAGCGCGACAAAUAAGUUUCGAGACUCGGACCAUACCUCGGUAGUAUCAAUUUUGGUUCAAUCGGUUGAUGAAUAAUAAAGUCAUAAAAGGAUUAACGAUAACUGCGGAAAUUGUUUUCGUCCGAGCCCUGGUAUAUGCAAGACUUUAAUGAUUUUGGGGCUCUGUUCCAUGCUAAAAUUGAUGAUUUCUUGAUUGUUCCGAUCCUGGUCCAUGCUAAAAUUAAUGUAAGUUCUGUUCCAUGCUAAAAUACAAAAGUCGGACAUGGAGGUCCACAAACACAAAGUACUAGCACUGGUUAGCAUUCCCAUUUCCUCUGUGAUAAUAUUAAAAACAAAUUACAUUGGAAAUGCAGGUUUAUUCUGAUCACCCAUAGCAUUCAUUGAUUAUGCAUUAAACCCAUGAACAUUAGAACAUAUUGGUACAGCAGUACGAUGUCGACAUAAAUUUGGACCGUUGCAAAUAUGACUUCAUUGGGCUGCACCUCUAUUCUUCUUCCACCCAUAAUUGUUUGUACAUCGAAAUAUAAAUACUAAAACAUACAUCGUAAAAUAUACCGUUUCGUUGUUAUUAACGUUAAAAUAUUGUGUACCGUUCAUAGGAAAUACUUGUUCGAUAUUACCAUUGAUAACACGAUCAUUCCUAUAACAGAAAUUACAAUGUGCAAUACUCUAAUGUAUGUGAAGAUGAGCACUAUCAUUAUCACAACAAUUCCAAGUAUCGAAGCCAAUCCAACGAUCAUCAUGAGUCCCGUUCUCAUCGUUAGAUCAAACUGUAACGUGAUUAAAAGUUCAAAGUUAAAAGCUAAAGUUAAAAGUUAACGAUGGUAUACCUUUCCUGUUCUUACGCAGUCGAAAGUACCUUCGAAAAUGUUGCUAGUAGACCGAUUCCAAACGUGAUCGCCGAUGUCAUACCUAAUGACAUUAAGAUGAUUUCAAUCUCGUAUGUGACAGAGGCAAAUGCAGCUAAAUACGAUAGGGCUAGUGUCUGCAAAUGAUAACAUUUUAACGUUUGCUCCUUCUCUCAUUGCCUUCGGAACAUAUUUUAACAGUCAUUCCUUGAAUAGUAUCAUUUAUCUCACCAAUUUGCACAGCCAUAUAUAAUUAAAAGGAGGCGUGCGUCUAGCACGUUCAGAACAAGCCACAGUGCAAUAAGAAAUAGUAAAGCAUAUACUGAAAAAGAUAAUGAAUCGAUCGAUUGAUUAUAAAAAUAUAUAAAUAUAUAUAUAUAUAUAUAUAUAUAUAUAUAUAUAUAUAAAUAUCACCUACAAUGCUAUAAUCCAUAUCCACCAAUGUAGAAUCAUGAAUUUUUUUGCAGCAUCCCUGAAGUAUGAGUAGAGAAGACUGUUAGGUCAUUGAAACCAAUGUUGUAAUGUUAAUAAUUAAUAAUACUGACACAAAAAGAAAGAUUGCUAUAACAGCCGCCGUAAAUAUUAACUGAAGCGUCAAUAUUAAGAAGACUUUUCUGAUGAAGCUUCUUCUCACUUCUUCAUGCUUAAAAUCGCCUACAUAAUCUGCUCCAUCCCCGUUUGGUCCCAUUGCUCUUCUUUCUUGUUGUUCACGCCAAGCUCUAUACAAUUCUUGAUUCUCCCUUUCUCUCUGCGCCACCAUUUCAUCGGUGACAGUAACAGUAUACGGUCCCUAAUAAUGAGUUAAUGUUAAUUAGAGUAUUGUCUGUCAUUCUGUUGCUCUACUCACUGUCUGAAUUUUCUGCCCGCUGUACAAUGGUGGUAACUGUGGAGGGCCUGGUAUCAGUUGCUGAGUUGCUUGAUCCCCUUGCAUCGAAUAAUUAAUGAUUAUUGUCACUGUCAAGUACAUAUAUAUAUCAAUGUUGCAUCGAAUUUGAAGCACUAAAUAGACACGUCAAUCAAAUUUAUUCAGCCCACUAACAUGAAAUUAUAAAAUCUUAUCUUGAUGUGUAAAUUUCCUUUCUAUCAGUUCUGAAUAUAGACGUGGAAACAUUUGCAAAUGAACAAGUGAACGGACACAAACAUUAUCAAUACAACAAAUACAAUAUAGUAUUGUAAUAUGGAAACAGUUUUGCGUAGUGUCGGAAUACUUAAUGCAAGGAAACAAUGAAAUUAAUAGAAAGCAAAAAGCCUUUUAAUUAUCAUCGUAUAGUACAUUUCAUUUAUACAAACAAUACGUAAUAAUACAGCUAUGUGUGUGUAUCUUUUUUUGUAUGAUGAGGUAUUCUAAAUUUUACAAGCUGUGGAAGAAGAUAUAACGAGUCACUUUUUAGAUCAUUUGCGUCGUGCAGUCUAUUACCAAGGGCACGGUAUGUAGCAUACAAUGUAGAAAACAUGACCGACAUAAAUAUGAUACGCAACUGACCGAAUGAAUGGCCAAGUAACAAGUAAUAAACUGUAUCAAAUAUUAAAUAGUACUGUGUACGUAAAAGUACUUCAAUUCAUUCUGUACACAUAUAAUAUAAUGUUAACACAAUUAGACAGGUACCUACGGAAGUAUAAUCGAAUUUAGCGUGUGCGUAAAUUACAUUCUUAUGCACUUCUCGUUUAAUAUUUACAUCGCUGCUGAAUCGUAUAAUAUAUAUAUAUAUGCCUCUGUUAAGUGUUUGUAGUACACUCAGCAAUAAAGAAUAGUACAACAA